GACAAAGCUAGCGUCAUGAAAACAGCUCUUAUGUAUGGACAUUAAGACCACAGAAAUCUCUACUUACGGACACUCUCCUAAGCGGACAGCUAUUUAUAUGGACAUUUUCAUUUGCGUUCAGCUGUACUCAUGGAUAGAAAAGUCUGACUGGCCAUGGCAAAUGAUAAAAUAAUUAAACACGCUUGGAGAGGUACGUGGAGGCCAUAUCGAAGACUCUAAGGUAAUGUUGUGGUUGGUAUUCGAUGUUUAUUUCGUUGUUAAUUCCGGCGUUACGCUUCGGAGCUUUGCGUGGCUGAACAGAUAAAUUACACUUCCCUCUACUAACAAAAUAUUCUAUUUGCCGGAUAUUCUUCCAAGGUGAUGACUGUGACUGUGACUAGGAAUAAGCAGAGACCACCAGUAGCAAAAAUAUCCGAGAUAAA